GGUGGGUUGGCAGAGCGGUUUAUUGCACCGAAUUGAAACCUCGGCGAGGCUUCGCAUCCUCCAAGGGUUCGAAUCCCUUACCCACCG
rnacentral:tRNA from 2 species